rnacentral:piRNA from 1 species
UGAGAUGCCUGGAAGAGAGAUUCUGAUUGGC